GAGUUUGAUCUUGGCUCAGAUUGAACGCUGGCGGCAGGCCUAACACAUGCAAGUCGAGCGGUAGAGAGAAGCUUGCUUCUCUUGAGAGCGGCGGACGGGUGAGUAAUGCCUAGGAAUCUGCCUGGUAGUGGGGGAUAACGCUCGGAAACGGACGCUAAUACCGCAUACGUCCUACGGGAGAAAGCAGGGGACCUUCGGGCCUUGCGCUAUCAGAUGAGCCUAGGUCGGAUUAGCUAGUUGGUGAGGUAAUGGCUCACCAAGGCGACGAUCCGUAACUGGUCUGAGAGGAUGAUCAGUCACACUGGAACUGAGACACGGUCCAGACUCCUACGGGAGGCAGCAGUGGGGAAUAUUGGACAAUGGGCGAAAGCCUGAUCCAGCCAUGCCGCGUGUGUGAAGAAGGUCUUCGGAUUGUAAAGCACUUUAAGUUGGGAGGAGGGCAGUAAAUUAAUACUUUGCUGUUUUGACGUUUACCGACAGAAUAAGCACCGGCUAACUCUGUGCCAG
rnacentral:rRNA from 1 species